AUUGAACGCUGGCGGCAGGCCUAACACAUGCAAGUCGAACGGUAACAGGAAGAAGCUUGCUUCUUUGCGGACGAGGGGCGGACGGGUGAGAAAUGUCUGGGAAACUGCCUGAUGGAGGGGGAUAACUACUGGAAACGGUAGCUAACACCGCAUAACGUCGCAAGACCAAAGAGGGGGACCUACGGGCGGCUGGCCAUCGGAGGUGCCCAGAUGGGAUUAGCUAGUAGGUGGGGUAACGGCUCACCUAGUUGACGAGCUGUAGCUGGUCUGAGAGGAUGAUCGGCCACACUGGAACUGAGACACGGUCAAGAGGCCUACGGGAGGCAGCAGUGGGGAAUAUUGCACAAUGGGCGCAAGCCUGAUGCAGCGAUGGCGCGUGUAUGAAGAAGGCCUUCGGGUUGUAAAGUACUUUCAGCGGGGAGGAAGCGAGUAAAGUUAAUACCUAGGCUCAUUGACGUUAACCGCAGAAGAAGCACCGGCUAACUCCGUG
rnacentral:rRNA from 1 species